CCUGAAGGAGGAGGAGGAGGAGCCUCUGCUGAGAAAGCGGAAGGUACAGGAGCAUCAGGAGGAGGACAAGUGCUGUCACCCCGAGGAGGUGAAGAUGGAGCCGGAAGAGCAUCUUGAGAAGGUCAUGCAGGCCUGUGAGGUGGUGGAGAAGCAGCAGGAGCAGCAGCAUCCUGAGCAGCAGCCAGCUCAGCUGGAGAAGGAGCCAGAGGUGCCCUCUCUGUCCCACCUCCAGGAGGAGGAAGGGGGAAAGAAGCAGGAGCAGCUGCAAAAGGAGAAGGAGG